rnacentral:rRNA from 1 species
AACGAACGCUGGCGGCAGGCCUAACACAUGCAAGUCGAGCGAGAUCUUCGGAUCUAGCGGCGGACGGGUGAGUAACGCGUGGGAAUAUGCCCAUCUCUACGGAAUAGCCUCGGGAAACUGGGAGUAAUACCGUAUACGCCCUUAGGGGGAAAGAUUUAUCGGAGAAGGAUUAGCCCGCGUUGGAUUAGGUAGUUGGUGGGGUAAUGGCCUACCAAGCCGACGAUCCAUAGCUGGUUUGAGAGGAUGAUCAGCCACACUGGGACUGAGACACGGCCCAGACUCCUACGGGAGGCAGCAGUGGGGAAUCUUAGACAAUGGGGGCAACCCUGAUCUAGCCAUGCCGCGUGAGUGAUGAAGGCCUUAGGGUUGUAAAGCUCUUUCAGCUGGGAAGAUAAUGACGGUACCAGCAGAAGAAGCCCCGGCUAACUCCGUGCCAGCAGCCGCGGUAA